AAUUAUAUUUGAACCCUAUAAAAGAUCAUGCAUUCACUGAAACUAAAGGCAACAUAGAAAACCAAGAAAUUAAACAAUGGCAAUGGUAGUGAGCACUAGAGUUGUUGUCAUGGCCUUCCUCAUUGUGUGCAUGGUGAUGAUCACUACAAAUGGCCAGGCGCCUAAUAGGGAUUUCUGUUGCAAAGACUUCACAUUCCCUCAAGGAUGUGACAUAAACAGUGCUGCUGCACAAAAAAAUUGUGCUAUAUUUUGCAAUGGAGGUUGUUCUGGUGCAACUGGGGCCUGUUCAGCGAGGGCAGGGAAGACCUUCUGCCAGUGUGGCCCAGCAAGACCUCCAGGAAGAUGUCCGUGAUGAACAAAAGAUUCUCCCUCUAGACCUUGCAGUAGCAAGUCUCAUGCACUGAGUUGCUUGCUCGAUUUGGAUUCCCUUGAUAAUGUUUAUGAGUGAUCCAUUCUAAUAAAAAGGGUCAAAACUUAUUGAUCAACUUGCUUAUAUACUUGUAUUGAAAGGCAUGAUUUUUUUUUUCUUUUCAAUUAGUUUCAAUUCCUUUUAAAUAGGACCAUUUGAAUAUGAGGGGGAAAGAUCCUCUCCAAUCAAUUGGGCCUCCAAUUAAUGAUCCAACGGUUAGGAGGACCUGAGGAUAUGGACCCAUUGUUUGUUGAUUCCGGAUCAAGUCCUCGUACAAGAGUGGUAUGGUACCAAAUCCAAACUUGGAUUCCACUUACCACUUAAAGUGAAAACUAAUUGAAAGAAGAGAGAUUAAGUGGAAUAGAAGUGUGGAUCAGGCAAAGUACUAGAAUCACUUUGAGUGGAACCUAAGUGUGAAUCAUAUGCCGUAUAAGAAUGAUUCUCAUUCGAAGACCUAAUUGAAGAUAUUCCUUUUGAGCCCUAACGUUGUUGAAAUGGAAGAGGACUUCGCAGUUGAUAAUGUGCGGUGCGGUAAAGCCCACAAAAUUCUCCGUACCAACAAGACCAAGGCAUUUUCAGAGUUGAUUUUUGAUAGGUACACAGCUGCAAGAGUCGAGACCUUCUGAAGAGGACCUGGGUACCCUGGGCUGGGCCUGAGUUUAAGCCCAACUCAGCACUACCUGGUGGCAGUAGCACCCUUAAUAUGUACUGUGCUUUUCUAUUCACAUUGUCCAGAUCAAACCGUGGAUGAACCGUGGUUGAUGGUAUUAAUUACUUUAUUAUUAUAAAUAAUAUAUUUUUAAUGGAUUAAAAACACAAUAAAACACAAAGUUAUGUGAUGUGAGGAUUUGGCUUCUCUACAGCUCGAGGGUGUGCUGCCAAAAUGGUGGCGUGGGCUAGAUAGAUAAUACGUGGUAAUAGCCAGAUCUAACGGAAGGGAGCAGUGAAGAUAUAGGCAUUCAGUUAAAGGCAAGAAACAAGGAGAUUGGGCUAAACAAAAGGAAAAAAAAAAUAAAAAAAAUCUAUCCCUCUUUCCUCUUCCGUCUUCCCUCUUCGUCUCUCUCUAAGAUCUCCGUCAUCGGCUUGGACAAUGUCGGCAAACCAUCUUCACCUAAGAGCUCUUCAGCAUCGGCAAUGUCGGCAUGGCAUAUGAAUAUAGAAAAGGCUACAAUGGAGGAAAUCCAAUUUCGUAAAGAUCAAAGAAGAAAAAGAGCAAACUAAAUUGCCCAAACUCUCGACAAUCCCGAUAAGAAUAGAAUAUACUACUAUUAUGAAAAGAAUGAAUCAAAUCAGAUAAAAUUAACAAGAGGGGAGAUUGGAAAAAAAAAAAAGAAAAAUAGGGUGGAGAUUGAAGAAUCACAAUUGAAAAGAAGGGAUCAACAGAUCAACGGAAUAGGAAAAUAACUUAUAGUUAUAGAUCGGUCUCUAGAUUGGAUCCGUCAGCGAGAUAUUCACAUCAGAGACAGAAAAGGAAGAGACAGAGAGUCUAAUCUGACUGUUAGUCAACAGAGCCAAAUCUAAGGAGAGGAUAGGGGACAUAGAAGCAGGUUAAGUCUAGAGCGGCCGAUGAUCUGACGGAGACCGAUGGUUACGAUGCAGAGGUUGGAUCCGGCGGUGAUGGAGUAAUCAAUAGAGGCGAUGAUCUUGUCACGAGAGAGGAAUGCGGUGGCGUGCUAGAGGUCGAGCAUCUCACCGUAGAGCAUGUCAGGGUUAACAUCAACGAGGACGAUUUCUUCGAAGAGAUCUUGGGUGAGGAUGGUCUGGGCAAUGGCCAUGUCGACAUUGCCGGUGCUGGAGAUCUGAAAGAAACGAAGAGGGAAGAGGGAAGAGGGAAAGAGGGAGAGGGUUUUUUCUCCUUUGUUUAUCCCGAUCCCAUGUUUCUCACCUUCAACCGAAUACCUGUAUCUUCAGUACUCCCCUCCCUUAGAUCCAGAGACCACCAUGUGCCAUCCAUCUAGCCCGGGCCACCAUAUUGGCAGCACCCUUGGGCUGUAGAGGAGCCAAAUCUCCCCAAGAGACUUAAUAGUCCUUUUGCUUAGGAGUUAGGACUCGGGAUCCUUGUACAGUUGGACACUAAUCAAGAUAAUGAGAUUCAAUCAGACAAUUUUCAAGUUUUACGAAUCCCAAAUAUACAUUAAAAAUAAGGGAUGAUAAAAAUAUGAGUUUCUCUUUCUUCUGAAUGAAAUAUAUUUUAAUAAAUAAAUUAUUAAAUAUAGGUCUUUGUUCCCACAACCCAAACAGCUAGCUCGAAAUUUCAAUAUAUUUAUUUAGACUAUGCUUGGUAUGUAUUCCCAUUCUGAAAAUGGAGAAUGUGUUCUUAACUAAGAAUGAGAACACUGCUUGGAUAAAAUGUUUGUUUAAAAUGUAUUAUUGAUGUUAGAAUGUUCAGACAUUUUAGCAAACACCUUAUGGGUGGAAUCUAUUUUAUGAAAAUCCCUGGCAACAUUACAACCUAUAACACAAAUAAAAAAAUAAAAAUUUGAAUGGUUCCCUAGAUAGUAUUGCUUAAAUCGAUCCUCAAGUCCUAGGGAAUGGUGAAAACUAAGAUCCCUUGACAAAGGCAUCAAAUCAAACCCACGCUCUGCUGGAAACUAAGAACAUGGAGAAGAACCAAUUUCACCACUUAGCACAACAUCUUCAACAAUUCCAGUAGGUGGAGCGAAAAGAAAUGGUCCAUUAAGAUCAAAGCAUUUCAAAUAUGCUUCGAUGCCAAGGAAGCAAUUGAAUCUAACUUCCUAAACAAGCGAUUCUUCUUGUGCUUUGGACAUCUUCAUCCUCUAAAUCUGCUAUUGAGAUUCUCACACGUUGAAGCUAGUUUCCCUUCACAAAGCUUUCAUGAGAACCAAAGGGCUGAAGUCAGAAAAACCUGAAAAGGAAAAACCAUCAAUUUUCUCAAGCACACACCCAAAGCGUGGGUGGGGAGCAGCACAUAACAGUUUAUCUUAAGCCCCAGUUUCUCCAUUACAAAGCUCGCAAACCCUUAAUUUCAUCUCUAGAAGAACUACAAAAAUACUUAUAUAGAUCACUAGGAAAACAAGAGAUUCUAGGAUUUUUGGAUUCGAGAGAAGAUCUUAAGAAGGAGAAAAGGAGAGAGAUUUGGGGUGAGAGAAGCAGUUUUUAAAAAGAGAGAGAGAGAGAGAGAGAGAGAGAAGAAUAAUUUUUGGAGAUUUGAAAGAAUGAGAAGCUAUUCCUUGGGAGAGAAGGUGCCUUUAAUAAGAUUAGUGGUAGAGCUUUUUUCAUCGUGCUAUGCUGAAAGCUGGAAAAUGGAGAAUGUAGAAUGGAAAAAUAUCCCAUUCUAGAAUGGGCUGCAUUCUUGACUGUGUUCUAGAAUCUUGAGAAUGGAAAGCUUACCAAACAAUGUUUUAACAGUCCCGAAUGUGUUCCUGGUCCAGAACGCAUUCCAAGAAUGCAUACCAAAUACAACCAUAAUAUAUGUAGGUUGGGAUGGACUUAUUUCUUAAUUUAGGCUUGGAUUCACCAUGAAAAUCUUAUUACUCAAUUUCUAAGGAAAAUUAAUUCAUACUGAAUCAUCUGGUUCUACAUCUUUGCUGCUAUUCUGCCAACACCAAUGAUCACAAGUAUAUUUACAUUUUUAGGGGUGAGUUAAUUUUUUUCAAAAGUUAUAUGUUUUUUAUUUUGAAUUGAGAAAUUUCUAGACUAUCUCCUUAAUUGUUUGUGAUUAUAUUCAUCUUCGGCAUAUUGUUAUACAUAUUUUAUAACUAAUUUAUGAUAUGACAUGAUUACAACAUGAAAGAAGGUACUUAAUCUUCUUUUAGUAUAAGUAUUACUAUCAAGAGGGAUCCUCUAGAAAUGUGUAUAAGAAAUUAUGCUUCCAUUGUUAUCCACUCUAGGCUGUGUUUGGUAGCCAAGAGAAGAAAAGAAAAGAAAUGAAAAGAGAAAAGGAGCUAGAAAAGAGAAGAAAGGAAAAUAAUAGAAAUGAAAUAAAAUGGAAAGAAAAAAAAAUUGUGUUUGCUUGGCUACCAUCAGAAGAAAAGAAAAGAAAAAAUUUUCUAUUCUCUUGUGUUUUCUUAUGUUUUAGGCUAGACUUUUUCUUUUUGGUAGCACAAGAAAUUCAUUAUUCCCAAGGUGGAUUUUGAAAAUAAAAAAAAUAAUCUCUCUUGAUUCAGGACAUACCAAAGAUAAUGAGAAUUUCUUAAACUAAGAAAAUAAUACAAUUUUUGUACUUCGUUCUUCUCUUGGUUACCAAACACAACCCAACAGAAUAUUAUACUCCUGUUCUUGUUCACCACAUCUAAAUUUAUGAAAGAAAAUGAUGUUCUUAGGAUUCUGAGUCCUUUUUUGUACUUACAUUGGCAAGUUCCUAUAAGGGUGAGACUUCUUGUAAAUUUCACUUCCUCAUUAACUUAUAACUUGUGAACUGCCCUAAAAUCGUGGUUGAAUUUUAAGAUUAUAAGAGAAAAUUUCACUCCUCUCCCCUAAAUGUUUCACUUAUUACACUCCCAUCCCCUAUGAAGUUUAAAGUUACAAUUGUACGUGGUAGUGUUAACACUAUUAGAGUCAUUUGUUAAAUGUUAACACUAUAGACAAGCUUCAAUGCAACUCUGGUACCUUCUGAAACAUGAUCACAUAACCGCACUACACCACCAUGGACGCAUAAAAGAUAAUCAGAAAAAACAAUUGCAUAAUAUACCACUAUUGGAAACAGUUCUGAGAGCAAAUAGAUACCAUUCAAGAGAUCUACAUACUUUCAUAGACAUGAAAUAUAAAUCAUUAUUCACAGUAAUCCUGCAUAAAGGAUGACACACAGGGAGAGAAUGGGGCUAGGGUUCUGACCUAGGGACUGUACUCUUCUCCUGAACAAAUGGAGAGGGAUCGAUCUAGGGACUGUUCCUUUCUCAAUGGAAGAGAAAUAGAGAAGAGGAAGGGAGGAGGGAUUAAUGUCUACUGAAAUCCUCUAGUGAAGGAGACGGAGACAACGAUGGAAAAGAAAGGGGUUGUGAUGCCUCACUAGGGUUUAGUUGCCUGUGAAAUCGUCCAAUUGUGCAGAGAUUUGCUUAACCCUAAAAUCCAAAUCGAUGAGAAGUUUUUUUCAAGGAAGAAGAUGAAGCUAAUGUUGUAAUCUCCAUUCAACUAGGGUUAUUUUAGGGUUUAGAGUGUAAUUGUACAUCAUGUGUCAUCACUUAAUAGUGGGCCACUCAUGGUCAGGGUAUGAUUGAUAAAAUCUACAACAUUAGAGGGAUACGAUUGUAACUUUAAACUUCACUGGGGAUGAGAGUGUAAUAAAUGAAACAUUCUGGGAAGGGGAGUGAAAUUUUCUCUCAAUAAAAUGGACCUUACUAUCUAUAUCUCAAAAAAUCAUAUUUUCUCCAUUAUCUGAGCAAAUAUGUCUACCUUUCCCUCAACUGUGAUUUCUUUUUUUUUAUUAAACAAAGGUGUUCGAGCCAGCUUACGUGCAUUUCGACUAAUCAUCGGGAAGACUAGUGCAGCAACUCAUUGGCAUGGUCACCACUUCUUUGAGUGUGAUUUCAAUGGUUGCAUGUUUUGAUUUAAUACAUUGUGACAUUUGGGGACCAUAUUUUAUACCCACCCUAUGUGUUGCUUUCUAUUUUCUCAGAAUAUUGGAUGACUUUUUCUGAUGCA